UGGCAACUCUUGCUAUCCGCGACAUUGCGAUAAAAAGCAAAACACACCAAGUCAGUUCACCGUAUGACAGAACUGGCGACUCUGCUGGGGAUACUUUAAAAAGAGAGGUUACCUUAAAAACAAGAUCACUUAUUCCAAAUUGUCUGAUUUAUUUUUAAGGGAUUGCUUGGGUAUUCUUGAGUGAAAGAUCCUACACCCGGAUCUAGUGUGCCUUAGGUAAGUAGCAAUAGAUCAUUGCGACUAUCCGGCGUAUACUGGAAUGGUUAAAAUGAUGGCUACGGUUAAUGUGACACUUUGGAUGUCCUGAUGUUCCUCAUGUUCGCUUGAGGAAAAAUUUGGCUUCCGCGUGG
rnacentral:lncRNA from 1 species